rnacentral:tRNA from 1 species
GCUCCGAUAGCUCAGUUGGUAGAGCGAUGGAUUCGUAAUCCAUAGGUCUCGGGUUCGAAUCCCGAUCGGAGCA